CUACGGGAGGCAGCAGUGGGGAAUAUUGCACAAUGGGCGCAAGCCUGAUGCAGCCAUGCCGCGUGUAUGAAGAAGGCCUUCGGGUUGUAAAGUACUUUCAGCGGGGAGGAAGGGAGUAAAGUUAAUACCUUUGCUCAUUGACGUUACCCGCAGAAGAAGCACCGGCUAACUCCGUGCCAGCAGCCGCGGUAAUACGGAGGGUGCAAGCGUUGAUCGGAAUUACUGGGCGUAAAGCGCACGCAGGCGGUUUGUUAAGUCAGAUGUGAAAUCCCCGGGCUCAACCUGGGAACUGCAUCUGAUACUGGCAAGCUUGAGGCUCGUAGAGGGGGGUAGAAUUCCAGGUGUAGCGGUGAAAUGCGUAGAGAUCUGGAGGAAUACCGGUGGCGAAGGCGGCCCCCUGGACGAAGACUGACGCUCAGGUGCGAAAGCGUGGGGAGCAAACAGGAUUAGAUACCCCAGUAGUC
rnacentral:rRNA from 1 species